CGGAGCGGCACCGGAGCGGCACCGGAGCGGGGCCGGGGCCGGAGGGGAGCGGAGCGGGACCGGGGCCGGGGUCGGAGCCCCGGGACCGGAGCCCCGGGGCCGGGGUCGCUCCCCAGCCAUGUCCAAGCUGCUGCCGGCGCAGGAGGCGGCUCGGAUCUACCACACCAACUACGUGCGGAAUGCUCGGGCCAUGGGGGUGCUCUGGGCCCUCUUCACGCUCUGCUUCUCCAUCCUGAUGGUGGUGACCUUCAUCCAGCCCUACUGGAUCGGCGACAGCAUCGACACGCCGCAGGCCGGCUACUUCGGCCUCUUCUCCUACUGCAUCGGCAACGCGCUCACCGGGGAGCUCAUCUGCAAGGGCAGCCCCCUGGACUUCGGCACCAUCCCCUCCAGUGCCUUCAAAACUGCCAUGUUCUUCGUAGGCAUCUCCACCUUCCUCAUCAUCGGCACCAUCCUCUGCUUCAGCCUCUUCUUCUUCUGCAACGCAGCCACCGUCUACAAAGUCUGUGCCUGGAUGCAGCUGGCAGCGGAACCAACUGCUUUUCCACGAAGAGAAAUCCUCUCUGCAAACCAAGGAAGCUGUCUGCUCACCUUGCUGCUGGCUUGUCCCCAAGCCAAGAGAAAAGAAAACAUUGGCAAAGGACAAGGCCACUGCCCCAGAAGGGGGUUCUGGUUUACUGAGCACCUGGUGGCAGAAAGGAGCACAGGUGUGUGACAAGGUGCAUUUAAGGAGGCUGCAGAUGUCCUUGAGGGGCAGGGACAGACAUCUGCUUGUCCACCACAGGUUUGUUUCUUGUGUGAGAGGAGUCAGGGACUGCCUCACAUCUGCAGCAUGUGAAGGGCUUUUGUCAAUCAUGUCCAAAAACCUUGCAUCUUAAUUCAUCCCUAGCCUGGUCAUUGCUCUUGCCCAGUAAAUACAAUUUCUCUGAGCGGGGGAAAAAGGCACUUCUGAGAUUUUGGGGCACAAGCUGCCCUUCAGCAACCUGCUGGCACUGGGGAUGGUGCAGGGCACCCCAUGACCAGGCUGGAGCAGCUCCCAAGGUUGUGUGUGAGCUCUGAGAGCAGUCACAGGAGGAGCUGCUGCUGGAACCACCGCAGCUGAACAAGCAGAAUUAAUCUGCCCACAAAGCUGCUGCUGACAGCAGCUCCACCUUAGUAAACCCUGAGCUGGAAUCAGCUGCAAGGCGCUGGGCCAGGGUCUCCAUCUCACACAGGCUAAACCCAUUCCAGCUUUGUUUGGAGAAGAUAUUUCCUUGGAGUGACAGGGCCAGGGCUCUGUGCAGAGGGAGCAGAGACGUUGCCUGGGCAACGCUGCCACAGGAGAUGCUGGUGCUGCACAUCCUUGGCACGGCAGAUCCUGCUCCUCCCUGCCUGUGCAGCACAGCAGAGCCCACGGGGAUGAGCCACCACAGUGCCUUCAAGGGACAAGCCUGUGGCACCUGAUGUGUCUGCAGCAUGAUGUUUGCUCCUCCAGCUGCUCCCUCCACUUCAGUGUUGGUGCCUGGAAAAUAGAAUGCAUCAUUCCAGUUGGGCCACGGGGCUGAUGAUCGGCUGCCUGAUCUACCCCGACGGCUGGGACUCGAGCGAGGUGAGGAGAAUGUGCGGGGACAAAACGG